CUUUGAACAUCAGACUUGUCUAGCCAACAGCCUGCUUGACAUGCACCCUUGGAUAUUUAAUAGACAUCUCAAACUUCACAUGUCCAAAACCGAACCCCCAAUAUUCCCCACAAAGUCUGAUUCUGCCCCUGUCUUUUCCAGCUCACUGAUGGCAAAUGCCAUCCUUCCUUCCCAUUGCUCAGGCAGAACGGGUUUGAACAUCUUUCAGUCCCCUUUUCUUCCCUGUCACCUCACAGCCUUAGGAGAUUCUGUUUACCUUCAAAACAGAUUCCAGAAUCCAAUCACUUCUUGCCACAUCCACAACUGCCACCCAGGUUCAAGCCAUCACCGUCUCUUGCCUGGAUGACGGCAACAGCCUCUUCUCUGGCCUCCCUGCUUCCACCCUCACCUCCUGCCAGUCUAUUCGCACCAUAGCAACCAGAGACAUCCUUUAAAGCAUAAAAUUGCAUCUACGCCACUGAAGGCUGAUUAAUCCAUGUUGAACUCCAAACUGGAAGACACGACACAGGAUGGCUACGCUCAAGGAAUUGCAAUAUAAUCAGAAAAGAUAUGCAUCUAAUGAUUUCAAGUUACUUGUGAACAAUGGGAAGAUAGUCAUGUAAAACAUUAUGCAGAAGAACCAAAAGACUAUGAAGCAGAAGAAGGAUCCGAGUGAGAAGAGGUUAUACUGAGAUGAAAUUUUUCAAAAAGGUCCGAGCCUUCCUGGCAGCUUCAUUCCCCAGGGUACUUCAGUUCACUCCAGUCUCUGUUCCGGGCACCCUGCUAACCCACAGUUAAUCAGCUAGAGCCCUGCCCUGGUGAGGCUCACAGGCCAGUGGAGGAUCCAGACAAGCGAAGAGGCACUUUGCAGCCCAGGGUUGCCUCAACAAUUGCAUCAUUAUAAGCGAGAUGCUGAUCACCUCUAACUGCUGCCUCAUGCUAUUUACCAGGGGAUUCACAGCAUUGAGCAAGAGAGUGCGGGUGACUGACACACAGUCCUCAUCACUCCAGGAAAAAUCCCCAGGGUCACGGAUUGUGCUGUGCAGGGCGGCUGGCCAGGACUGCAAGAGGGGGCGGACAUCCAGCCCUUCACCCACUUGCCAAGUCACGUGCCCUGAAACGGGGCUGCAUUUGCCUGGAGGAAGGGCAUCUUUUUCUAAUUCAUACACAGGCAUCGUAUGUGCCAGGAGGGACUCUGAGAAGAGCUCAACGUCAUAAACCCUGAGAGCAAAUUAAUGCCAUAGUGAACAUGAAGAAGAAAGUGUUUUUUAUUGAUCAGAUGCGCAAGUUUUGAAAUUGGAAUAAAAAUUUCACUACGAUCGAUUCAUCUCCAGAGUCGUCUUUGUCUACGGGCAAUUCCCCACCUGUCGGCUUUCCCUUCCUCCCUGUCAAAUGACGAGGCAGGUGGGACUGUACACUCCCCUGGGUUUCUUCUGGCUCUACUCUGCCUCUUACACAAAAUGCUCACGUGAUGUCAUGGAGGUUCCAGCCAAGAAGAGUGUCUCGUUUCUUAAGGCAAGCGGUGACGAUUACAGCAAAGGUGAGUUCAAAUGGGCAGGGGAAUGGGGUGGCAGAGGAAGACAGUGAACAUUCAUUGAGUUCCUAGCACCUGCCACCUAUUUCCAUAAGUUCUACGGAAAAUAUAUACAGUACCCUUUUCACAGAUGAAAAGAUAGACUCUUGGGGUAACUUGUUCCAUGUCAGAAGGCUAGUGUCAUGGGUUGAAUGGUGGCCCCCUA